AGGGAGUUCAGUCAUGGGUGGGGACAGCUCAGGCUCCAGUCCUGGAAGAUGAGGCUGUCUUCCCCAAGCAAAGUUCUUGGCAGCCAGGGCCUGGACAGACAAGGAGAUUCAGGGCCCCAGGACAAGUAGGGCCUGUCCUCACCUGUCUUCGAAUCCGUUCUGUCCUCCUUGGUACAGGGGACAGCACAGGCAAGGAGCCGGAGGCUCAGACGGACAGGGAGCUGGAGCCCCUCAGCGAGGGGUCGUCUGGGAUGCCUCACAGCCUCUCCCUAACAACCAUCGACUCUUCAUGGCACUUGUGUCCCUGGGCAGGCAUCAGCAGACUGGUUUACACACAAGGCUGACCAUGUCUCUGAGCUUCUGUCACCGCAGGUCCUAAAAUCACAUUGGAACUGUCAGUCGAGGAUGGAGCUUUAAAUAACUGAAGGACACCAAACAUGUCUGCUCACGUUUCUUUUAAUAAACCCAAGUUCCUCCCUCUCUACUGAAUAUAGUGUGGAGAGCAUCUCGCUCCUGUUCAUGUUGGGUGGUUGGCUGGGGGUGACACAAAACCAACAACCUGG
ensembl:lncRNA